rnacentral:lncRNA from 1 species
GAAGAAAUGAAGUUUAACUCCCUUUUUUAUGUAUAUGUUAGACCAAUCACUUCCCGAAAGGAUCUUAUACUUUGUAUUAUUAAUAUAAUCUAGUUUCUUUUUAUAAUAUCGAUUUAUAUAAUAUAAUAAUAUAAUAGAUUGAAUUUAUCUAAUUUAUUUCUAUAUCUAAUUUAUUUCUAUAUAGAAUAGAGUGGCGAUUCAAAUGAAUGAUUUAUGAGUAUAAAUCAUGAAUCAAAAAUGGAAAAUCAUAAAAGAUGGAAAAAGCUUUUGGAUGAAGAGAAAAACAAGAGAUGUAUAAGGAAGAAGAAGAAUAGAUGAAAAUUAGUCCUAUUAAUGUCAAGCUGAAGGAAAUAAAAUAAGUAUUAGCCAAAAUGACAAACAUGGAAGUUAAAUGUCAAAAUUUAAAAGAUACUUUCAAUUCAUCUUAAACCAUAAAGUUUGUUUCUAGAAUUUAU